UCCAACGCCUCUCCUUUUUUCUUAUUUUUAAUUUCUGAUUUUGUAUUUUCUUUUAUUUCUUUUAAUUCCAUUUUAUUUCUAAAAUUAAUAUCUCUUUCAUUAUUGGUCCAAAAAUUAUGGUAUCAAUUGCAUUAUUUCUCUUUUAAUUUCUACUUUCUAAAAAUGAUUUUUAAUAUUUUUUAUUUUAUCAUUUGCAACUUUUU
rnacentral:lncRNA from 1 species